UACGAAGGGGGCUAGCGUUGCUCGGAAUCACUGGGCGUAAAGCGCACGUAGGCGGCUUUUUAAGUCAGAGGUGAAAUCCUGGAGCUCAACUCCAGAACUGCCUUUGAUACUGGAGAGCUUGAGUCCGGGGAGAGGUGAGUGGAACUGCGAGUGUAGAGGUGAAAUUCGUAGAUAUUCGCAAGAACACCAGUGGCGAAGGCGGCUCACUGGCCCGAUACUGACGCUGAGGCACGAAAGCGUGGGGAGCAAACAGG
rnacentral:rRNA from 1 species